GAUGAAGAACGCAGCGAAAUGCGAUACGUAAUGUGAAUUGCAGAAUUCAGUGAAUCAUCGAGUCUUUGAACGCACAUUGCGCCCCCUGGCAUUCCGGGGGGCAUGCCUGUCCGAGCGUCAUUGCUGCCCAUCAAGCCCGGCUUGUGUGUUGGGUCGUCGUCCCCCCCGGGGGACGGGCCCGAAAGGCAGCGGCGGCACCGUGUCCGGUCCUCGAGCGUAUGGGGCUUUGUCACCCGCUCGAUUAGGGCCGGCCGGGCGCCAGCCGACGUCUCCAACCAUUUUCUUCAGGUUGACCUCGGAUCAGGUAGGGAUACCCGCUGAACUUAAGCAUAUCAAUAAGCGGAGGA
rnacentral:misc_RNA from 1 species